GAAAUGGAGGCAACUCUGAUCCAGCCAUGCCGCGUGCAGGAAGACUGCCCUAUGGGUUGUAAACUGCUUUUAUACAGGAAGAAACACCUCUACGUGUAGAGGCUUGACGGUACUGUAAGAAUAAGGAUCGGCUAACUCCGUGCCAGCAGCCGCGGUAAUACGGAGGAUCCAAGCGUUAUCCGGAAUCACUGGGUUUAAAGGGUCCGUAGGCGGUCUUUUAAGUCAGAGGUGAAAUCCUACAGCUCAACUGUAGAAUUGCCUUUGAUACUGAAAGACUUGAGUUAUUGUGAAGUAGUUAGAAUGUGUGGUGUAGCGGUGAAAUGCAUAGAGAUCACACAGAAUACCGAUUGCGAAGGCAGAUUACUAACAAUAUACUGACGCUGAGGGACGAAAGCGUGGGUAGCGAACAGGAUUAGAUACCCUGGUAGUCCACGCCGUAAACGAUGGAUACUAGCUGUUCGAUCAACAUUGGUUGGUUGAGUGGCUAAGCGAAAGUGAUAAGUAUCCCACCUGGGGAGUACGGUCGCAAGACUGAAACUCAAAGGAAUUGACGGGGGCCCGCACAAGCGGUGGAGCAUGUGGUUUAAUUCGAUGAUACGCGAGGAACCUUACC
rnacentral:rRNA from 1 species